GCCGACGCGGCCCGGCAUUUUUCUCUAAAUCGGCAGUAAAUACAGCUGAGUAAAAUUAGCUUGGUUUUCUUCCUUCUUUUGUAACUGAACUGUUUUUAUUAAAAAUCCUAUUUGAAUAUGUAGAAAAAGUGGGGAUGUCCUGUAAUAGAUCGUAGCUUUUCUUGUUUACAGGGUGCUCAGGAAGCAUGCGUCCCUUAGAGUCCCACGGAAAGGUUCUCAGUGCGCUCUCUAUCAAGUGCUAUGAGUCUUGAUAAAUUGGAGAAGAGCCCAAGAGAAAUUUUUCAUCCCUUGAUAUAAAAGGGAUCGGUGAAUUUUAACUUUGGAGUCCUCUAUGCUAAGGAUGCUCAGCUUACAGGUGAAAUGAAAUGUUCAGUAAUGUAUUUGCUGCAGCUCUGCUUACCCAAGCUUUGGGUUCCUUCCGUCCCACUGGGAGUUGCCCAAUUUGGUUGCAUCUGGUGAAAUUCACCCUGAGACCUUACAGAACCAGCUCCAACUACGUGAGAGCCAUUUGCAGUUCUCUCCAGACACCUGGAGAAUGGGCGACGUUUCUGAGGAUCCGGCGAGCGUGCUUCUAUCAAAACUCAGUCUGUGAAAUUCCUGGGGAAAACCCUUCUGUGUCCUGAAGGGUUCAAACUCUGGUGAGGAUCCAGUUAUCAGGUGCUCACCUGGAUGGUUCCAGCUCCCAAAGGGAAAGACUCUCGUAUCCUUGUCGUCGGGCUCGGUGCUGCCCAAGAAGAUACAGAGACUAAAAAAAUCAUAAGAAGCAAAAUAUGACUGCAGGGAAAAGAAGCUGGAGAGAACAGAAGGUGAUAUUGUUAUCCUUACCCUGUAUUAGAAACAUCCGCUGUGCUUUGAUGCUGGCAGCUGCCAGGGGCUUGUUAGCUCUUUGUAGGCAGGUGUAGGUGUUCACUUGUAGUUUUUUUCUCUGGACAAGUCAAUUCAAACUUUGCUAAGCUGAUAUUUGCAGAUUACUCUCUAGCACAGUCCAGCAUGACAUUUUUGAAUGUUGUAAAAAUACCAUGUUACUUGGAAAUUGCUAAUGAAGAGAAGCUUUAGGGGAAAAUAAGAUUUUAGGGUUGGAAGAUGUGAGAAGAAUGUUGUGGGGAUGUUAGACUGAAGUAAAGCACACUUGAAGCUGGACUGGCACGCUGGCAGGUCCCCUAUUAAACAGUAGUGCUGAGAUUAGCCUGGGGGUUGCCCAUUGUUUCUGUAGAAAUCAAUGUUUCCUGGUCUUCAGAGGUAAGCUGCUUUGAAAAACUGGAAGGUGCAGCAUGCUGACAAUCCCCGUGCUUUGGAUUAAAAGUAGAUUUCAGAAGGGUCCUAAGCUUUUGUCUUUUCCUAGAAGUCGAUGUAAUCCUGUCGAGGAGUUUUUAAUUCUGUGUUGCCAUGUCAUCCAUCAGAGCCCUGUUGUACUAAUCAUCAUACAAGUACAAAACAAAAAAUCAGACCCCGUCCCAAGCACUUAGAGCCCAGAACACGAUUUCCUCGGGCUGCCAUUUGUGUGCCAUCGGUACUCACCGUGGAAGGGAGCUGGGGAUUGUUGCAGCUGUUGGGAACAAACCGCUUCUCGUCACACAGAAAUGGAAUUGGGACGACGCCGCGGCCAGCCCCUCUCUGCCAUCGUCUCCUGAAUCUGCAGCAGAGCAGUUCCAGCCCAUCCGGGCACGUGUAAUCCAGUUCCUGAUGAUCUGAGCACACAGAGCAGCGCUCAGCUCCUGUGGGGGGCUCACGGAAGGCAGAGUGUGCAUUGUCAUCUUCCUGAACCUACAGACAAAUCAAAGUGAGAAGCCACAGCGUGGAAAUCAGUCGCAUAUAUGCUAAAUAAAACUUGCAGAUUUUUUUAAGAA